rfam:Brassica oleracea var. oleracea cultivar TO1000 chromosome C6, whole genome shotgun sequence
GGAAGUUAAGAAACUGUUUCUUAACUUUUAACUAAAAAAACUAAGAAUCAGUUAUUAAAUAGGAUUUUAAGAACUGGUUCUUAGUUUUUUUAGUUAAAAGUUAAGAAACAGUUUCUUAACUUCC